UAUUUGCCCUCGGAUCCGGGAUAGCGGCGGGAAACUGCCGGUAAUACCGGAUAACGUCUCCGGACCAAAGGUGUGAUUCCGUCCGAGGAUAAGUCCGCGUCCUAUUAGCUUGUUGGUGGGGUAAUGGCCUACCAAGGCAAAGAUGGGUACCGGGUGUGAGAGCAUGGCCCGGCUCACUGGGACUGAGACACUGCCCAGACACCUACGGGUGGCUGCAGUCGAGAAUCUUCGGCAAUGGGCGCAAGCCUGACCGAGCGACGCCGCGUGCGGGAUGAAGGCCUUCGGGUUGUAAACCGCUGUCAGAGGGGAGGAAAUGCUAGGGGGUUCUCUCCUUAGUUUGACCGAUCCUCAGAGGAAGUACGGGCUAAGUUCGUGCCAGCAGCCGCGGUAACACGAACCGUACAAACGUUAUUCGGAAUCACUGGGCUUAAAGAGUGCGUAGGCGGCCUAGCAAGUCGGAUGUGAAAUCCCUCGGCUCAACCGAGGAACUGCGUUCGAAACUGUUAGGCUCGAGGGAGAUAGAGGUGAGCGGAACUGAUGGUGGAGCGGUGAAAUGCGUUGAUAUCAUCAGGAACACCGGUGGCGAAGGCGGCUCACUGGGUCUCUUCUGACGCUGAGGCACGAAAGCUAGGGGAGCGAACGGGAUUAGAUACCCCGGUAGUCCUAGCUGUAAACGAUGAGCACUGGGUCGGGGGCCCUUCCACAGGUUCCUGGCCGUAGCGAAAGUGUUAAGUGCUCCGCCUGGGGAGUAUGGUCGCA
rnacentral:rRNA from 1 species